GAUUGAACGCUGGCGGCAUGCCUAACACAUGCAAGUCGAACGGUAACAGGUCUUCGGAUGCUGACGAGUGGCGGACGGGUGAGUAAUGCGUAGGAAUCUGUCUUUUAGUGGGGGACAACCCAGGGAAACUUGGGCUAAUACCGCAUGAGCCCUGAGGGGGAAAGCGGGGGAUCUUCGGACCUCACGCUAAGGGAAGAGCCUACGUCUGAUUAGCUAGUUGGCAGGGUAAAGGCCUACCAAGGCGACGAUCAGUAGCUGGUCUGAGAGGACGACCAGCCACACUGGGACUGAGACACGGCCCAGACUCCUACGGGAGGCAGCAGUGGGGAAUUUUUCGCAAUGGGGGCAACCCUGACGAAGCAAUGCCGCGUGGAUGAAGAAGGCCUUCGGGUUGUAAAGUCCUUUCGUGGGGGACGAAAAGGCGGGUCCUAAUACGAUCUGCUGUUGACGUGAACCCAAGAAGAAGCACCGGCUAACUCCGUGCCAGCAGCCGCGGUAAUACGGGGGGUGCAAGCGU
rnacentral:rRNA from 1 species